rnacentral:lncRNA from 1 species
GCUGCUUCCUACAGGCAAAAUGAAGUUUACCUAAUCCCAGCUGCUGCAGAAUUCUCAUAGGGAAGAGGAGUACUGAGCAUCACCAUUGAGGGAAAUGGGGGAGAACCCCUUGUCGCAACAACCUCUUCUGCCUUGCACUUGGCUAGUGUGUUGGCUCCGCCAGUUGAGUUUUGAUGAGCAUAUUUAUACAGCCACCAGGACAGUGAUGUGUGUUUUAAAAAGGAGAUGAGGAAACCCAGGCUCAGAAUGCUGGAGUCUGAGAAGCUCUCCAGCCUGCCUUGCUCCGUCCCCGGCUUCUCGGAGAGCCGUCUGGAAUGAAGGAGACUUUGCGCCACCUCAGGGGAGGUCUCCCCUCCGAGGAAGGGUUCAGUCUUAGGCUCCUAAGGUGGGUUGCUGGGCUCAAGAUGCCUCCUCCAGCGGAUCCCACUUCAUGGGGG